rnacentral:tRNA from 1 species
GCCUAGCUGGCUCAGUUGGUAGAGCAUGUGACUCUUGAUCUUGGGGUUGUGAGUUCAAGCCCCAUGUUGAGUG